rnacentral:rRNA from 1 species
UACGAAGGGGGCGAGCGUUGUUCGGAUUUACUGGGCGUAAAGGGCGCGCAGGCGGUCUUGAAAGUCAGGCGUGAAAGCCCCGGGCUUAACCUGGGAAUUGCGCUUGAUACUCUGAGACUGGAGUACGGGAGAGGAGAGUGGAAUUCCCAGUGUAGAGGUGAAAUUCGUAGAUAUCGGAAGGAACACCAGUGGCGAAAGCGGCUUCCUGGUCCAGCACCGACGUUCAGGCACGAAAGCGUGGGGAGCAAACAGG